CAGGUAGGGAUGGGCUGCGGCUGCACAGCUCGCAUAUGGGCGCAUUGACCGACGUGACGCGGGGAGCUCUGCUGUGCGUCCACGCUGUUCUGUCUGCGUACCCACACAAGGCAGGAUUGAUUUCAUCUUCGUCUCAUAGCAGCCAACCCCAGGGAUUCCACACCCAGGAAGCACCUACGAACAAUGGUCAUCUCAUUGAGAAGGUCUGCUUCCAUGGGUAGAGCCCACAGUCCAGCUGGGAGAGCCAACACAGUGACUUCACUGACAAUUCCUCGCUCCCCCUUUGCACCACUGCUCCUCAGCAGCUCCAGCAGAUAGAAAGAGGUUGGUGAGAGUUGGCUGCAAUGUAAUCUGCAGCCCAGCUGGUGUGGGACACUCGACGGGAGGGGAAAGGAGCUCUGCUCUUCAACUUCUCGUCGUGGUGUUUCAUGGUUGGGAGGCACCAAACUCCCGUAAAAACGCUGUCCCAGGUUUGCUCUGCUUGACGCUUCUCAUGGGACAGAAAGUUUGGUAUUUCUGUACAGUGCUUACUGUCUGUCUUAUUCAAAGCAACAGAAAUAAACACCAUUAAGUCUG